rnacentral:rRNA from 1 species
GGGGGGGCAAGCGUUGUUCGGAAUUACUGGGCGUAAAGGGCGCGCAGGCGGUUUCGUCAGUCAUGGGUGAAAGCCCCGGGCUCAACCCGGGAAUGGCCUGUGAAACCACGGAACUGGAGUGCUGGAGAGGGAAGCGGAAUUCCCAGUGUAGCGGUGAAAUGCGUAGAUAUUGGGAGGAACAUCGGUGGCGAAGGCGGCUUCCUGGACAGGCACUGACGCUGAGGCGCGAAAGCCAGGGGAGCGAACGGGAUUAGAUACCCCGGGUAGUCCUGGCUGUAAACGAUGAAUACUUGGUGUAGGGGGUAGGAAAGUCCCCUCUGUGCCGAAGAGAACUCGAUAAGUAUUCCGCCUGGGGAGUACGGCCGCAAGGCUG